AUUUUUCCAAGGGGGUAAGCCUCUCCCCGGAACGCGAAGCUCCUAUGGCGCCAUUUUGAUGUUAACAAGCCAUCACCUCCCGUUAGCAUUCCAUUGACUGCCAUUCAUUUUGGCGCCACUUUGACAGCGAAUAAAUUUACAUCUG